AUGGGGUGACUGCGUACCUUUUGUAUAAUGGGUCAGCGACUUAUAUUCUGUAGCAAGGUUAACCGAAUAGGGGAGCCGAAGGGAAACCGAGUCUUAACUGGGCGUUAAGUUGCAGGGUAUAGACCCGAAACCCGGUGAUCUAGCCAUGGGCAGGUUGAAGGUUGGGUAACACUAACUGGAGGACCGAACCGACUAAUGUUGAAAAAUUAGCGGAUGACUUGUGGCUGGGGGUGAAAGGCCAAUCAAACCGGGAGAUAGCUGGUUCUCCCCGAAAGCUAUUUAGGUAGCGCCUCGUGAAUUCAUCUCCGGGGGUAGAGCACUGUUUCGGCAAGGGGGUCAUCCCGACUUACCAACCCGAUGCAAACUGCGAAUACCGGAGAAUGUUAUCACGGGAGACACACGGCGGGUGCUAACGUCCGUCGUGAAGAGGGAAACAACCCAGACCGCCAGCUAAGGUCCCAAAGUCAUGGUUAAGUGGGAAACGAUGUGGGAAGGCCCAGACAGCCAGGAUGUUGGCUUAGAAGCAGCCAUCAUUUAAAGAAAGCGUAAUAGCUCACUGGUCGAGUCGGCCUGCGCGGAAGAUGUAACGGGGCUAAACCAUGCACCGAAGCUGCGGCAGCGACACUAUGUGUUGUUGGGUAGGGGAGCGUUCUGUAAGCCUGCGAAGGUGUACUGUGAGGUAUGCUGGAGGUAUCAGAAGUGCGAAU
rnacentral:rRNA from 1 species